UGGUGCUGUACACUCUAAAAGUACUGGACUCCAGCCUGAGACUAGAGAUUAGUGCUCAACAGUAUAGUCUUCCUUCUUCUGCUUGGAGAGAGAGAGAGAGGGAGGGAGAGAGAGAGGGAGUGCAACUUGGUGGUCAAACCCACCACCGCACCUCUUCCUUUUAUCUGCAGUUCAAGGCUAGUUCUAUAUGUGGCAAACAAAGGGUCUCGCGCUCGUUGUGGAUGUUUGAGAAAGAUCAGAAGGAGACAGCGCGUGCGUGCGUGCUUGUGUGUGUGUGUGUGAGAAAGAGAGAGACAGCGCUUUAUUAUCCAAUUCAGCUAAUAAAUACACACAUAUUCUUCCUGAUCUUUGGAACUCACUUCUCUGAAAAAUCUCCUGCGGAAGGGAGAGAGAAAAGAAGAGAGAGAAGAAAAUCCCACUUUCUUUUACCUUACCCUUCUUUUUUCUCUUUUGUUUAAAUGUAUGUAUAGUUGCGCUUUGCCAGAUUUGUAGAUUAGAGAUAUUCAAUCGCUUUCCCUUCUCUGACUCUCAUGAAGACAGCGACAUAUUCUCUCCCUGAAACUUCUCUUCCGCAGUUUCUGCUUCUUUCCCUCUUAUCUCUCUCAAAUGUUUUUUGUAGUUUAAUUUUUUAACCCCCUUUUCUUUUGUAGGUUAUUGUAUUUUUGUUUGCCCAUAUCGUAUUACUACUAUGAUUUAUGAGCUUUUUGCUUUUUUUGUAUUGUCUUUCUUCUGUUUUUUCCGUUCUCCACACGAGAUUAUGAGAGUUCUGCAGUAAUGAUCACGGUUCAAGCAUUGGCUUUAGGGUUGGUGAAGAAGCAAAGAAGUUCGUACCCAGAAAAGAAGCAAAGAAGCGUCAAUGGAGGUGUCGCGCAGCGUAAGAUUUUAAGGAGACCGACGAAGAGGGUGGUGAUCAGUCUGGAUCUAGACCAUCUGUAACACAUGAGACGAUUCAGAUGACGUCUACCUCCACUGCAAUAUGAAUAUGUGCUUAAGCCUCAAAAGACUACCUGUCCGGGUCGUCCCAAAUGUCAUAGUCAAAGACUCAAAUAGAUUUAUGCCUCUAUCUUUAGAUUCUUAAUUUCUUAGAAUAUUGAAAUUUGAAUCAUUUGUACGUAUUAUGUAUUUGAUUUGUAAUAUUGAUACAAUGUCUCUUGGACAUUUUUAUGUU